rnacentral:rRNA from 1 species
GUGGGGAAUUUUGGACAAUGGGCGCAAGCCUGAUCCAGCAAUGCCGCGUGCAGGAAGAAGGCCUUCGGGUUGUAAACUGCUUUUGUACGGAACGAAACGGUCCUGGUUAAUACCCGGGGCUAAUGACGGUACCGUAAGAAUAAGCACCGGCUAACUACGUGCCAGCAGCCGCGGUAAUACGUAGGGUGCAAGCGUUAAUCGGAAUUACUGGGCGUAAAGCGGGCGCAGGCGGGGCUGUAAGACAGGCGUGAAAUCCCCGGGCUAAACCUGGGAAUUGCGCUUGUGACUGCAGUGCUGGAGUGCGGCAGAGGGGGAUGGAAUUCCGCGUGUAGCAGUGAAAUGCGUAGAUAUGCGGAGGAACACCGAUGGCGAAGGCAAUCCCCUGGGCCGUAACUGACGCUGAGGAGCGAAAGCGUGGGGAGCGAACAGGAUUAGAUACCCGAGUAGUCC